rnacentral:tRNA from 1 species
GCCCCCGUGGCGAAACGGCAGACGCACGCGGCUCAAACCCGCGCGCCCGCGGUGGCGGGCAUACAGGUUCGACUCCUGCCGGGGGCA